ensembl:rRNA 5S_rRNA 5S ribosomal RNA
AUCUACGGCCAUAUCGCCCUAAAUGUGUCCUAUCUCGUCUGAUCUCGGAAGUUAAGCAGGGUUGAGCCUGGUUAGUACUUGGAUGGGAGACCUCCUGGGAAUACCGGGUGCUGUAGGCU